UCAUGCUCUGUCAUAAGUGACUAGACAUAGUUCUCAGUGCUACACAGCAGGAUCCUCAUUGCUCAUCCAUUCCAAAGACAAUAGUCUGCAUCUAUUAACCCCAAGCUCCAAAUCCAUCCCACUGCCUCCCCUUCCCCCUUGGCAACCACAAGUCUAUUGUCCAAGUCCGUGAUUUUCUUUUCUGUGGAAAGGUUCCUUUGUGCUAUAUGUUAGAUUCCAGGUAUGUGAUAUCAUGUGGUAUUUGUCUUUCUCGUUCUGACUUACUUCACUUAGUAUGAGUCUCUAGUUCCAUCCAUGUUGCUGCAAAUGGCAUUAAUUUGUUCUUUUUUAUGACUAAGUGGUAUUCCACUGUGUAUAUAUAUCACAUCUUCCGAAUCCAAUCAUCUGUCAAUGGACAUUUUGGUUGUUUCCAUGUCUUGGCUAUUGUGAAUAGUGCUGCAAUGAACACGCGGAUGCAUGUGUCUUUUUCAAGGAAAAUUUUGUCUGGAUAUAUUCUCAAGAGUGGGAUUGCUGGGGCAUAUGGUAGUUCUAUGCAUAGAUUUCUAAAGUACCUCCAUAUUGUUCUCCAUAGUGGUUGUACCAGCUUACAUUCCCACCAACAGUGCAGGAGGGAUCCCUUUUCUCCACACCCCCUCCAGUAUUUGUUAUUUGUGGACUUAUGAACAAUGGCCAUUCUGACUGGUGUGAGAUGUUACCUCAUAGUAGUUUUGAUUUGCAUUUCUCUAAUAAUCAGAGAUAUUGAGCAUUUUUUCAUGUGCUUGUUGGCCAUCUGUAUAUCUGCCUUGGAGAAUGUCCAUUCAGGUCUUUUGCCCAUUUUUCAAUUGUGGUGUUGUUGGCUGUUUUGCCGUUGAGUUGUAUAAGUUGUUUGUAUAUCUUGGAGAUUAAGCCUUUGUCAGUUGCAUCAUUUGAAACUAUUUUCUCCCAUUCUGUAAGUUGUCUUUCUGUUUUCUUUCUGGUUUCCUUUGCUGUGCAAAAGCUUUUCAGUUUGAUUAGGUCCCAUUGGUUUAUUUUUGCUUUUAUUUCUGUUGCUUUGGGAGACUGACCUGAGAAAAUAUUUGUAAGGUUGAUGUCAGAGAAUGUUUUGCCUAUGUUUUCUUUCAGGAGUUUGAUGGUGUCCUGUUGUAUAUUUAAGUCUUUCAGCCAUUUUGAGUUUAUAUUCGUGGAUGGUGUGAGGGUGUGUUCCAGUUUCACUGAUUUGCAUGCAGCUGUCCAGGUAUUCCAGCAAUGCUUACUGAAAAGACUUUUUUCCCAUUUUAUGUUCUUGCCUCCUUUGUCAAAGAUUAAUUGACCAUAGGUGUCUGAGUUUCUUUCUGGGUUCUCUAUUCUGUCCAUUGGUCCGUAUGUCUGUUUUGGUACCAGUAUCACACUAUCUUGAUGACUGUGGCUUUGUAAUAUUGCUUGAAGUCUGGGAGAGUGAUGCCUCCUGCUUGAAUUUUUCUCCUCAGUGUUGCUUUGGCAAUUCUGGGUUUUUGUGGUUCCAUAUAAAUUUUUGGAUUGUUUGUUUUAGUUCUGUGAAAAAUGUCAUGGGUAAUUUGGUAGGGAUUGCAUUGAAUCUGUAGAUUGUUUUGGAUAGUAUGGCCAUUUUUACAAUAUUAACUUUUCCAAGCUAGGAGCAUGGAAUAUCUUCAUUUCUUUAUAUCUUCUUUAAUUUCCUUGAUGAAUGUUUUAUAGUUCUCAGCAUAUAAGUCUUUUACCUCCUUGGUCAAGUGUAUUCCCAGGUAUUUGAUUUACUUGGAUGCAAUUUUAAAAGGUGUUGUAUUUUUGUGUUCCUUUUCUAAUAUUUCAUUGUUAGCAUACAGAAAUGUGACUGAUUUCUGAAUGUUAAUCUUAUAAUCCUACUACUUUGCUGAAUUUGUUGAUCAGUUCAAGUAGCUUUUGGGUGGAGCCCUUGGGGUUUUCUAUAUAUAGUAUCAUGUCAUUUGCAUACAGUGACUUCUCUUCCAUUUUGGAUGCCUUUUAUUUCUUUUGUUUGUCUGAUUGUUGCUGGGACUUCCAAAACUAUGUUGAAUAGCAGUGGUGAGAGUGGGCAUCCCUGUCUUGUUCCAGAUUUUAGUGGGAAGGUUUUCGGCUUUUCUCCAUUGAGUAUUAUAUUUGCUGUGGGUUUGUCAUAAAUGGCUUUGAUUAUGUUAAGGAAUGUUCCCUCUACACCGACUUUGGGAGAGUUUUUAUCAUGAAUGGAUGUUGGACUUUGUCAAGUGCUUUUUCUGCAUCUAUUGAGAUGCUCAUGUGGUUUUUGGCUUUUCUUUUGUUAAUGUGGUGUAUGACCUUGAUUGAUUUAUGUAUGUGACCAUCCUGUGAACCUGGGAUGAAUCCCACCUGGUCAUGGUGUAUGAUCUUUUUGAUGUGUCUCUGGAUUCGGUUGGUUAAAGUUUUGUUGAGAACUUUUACAUCUAUAUUCAUCGAAGAUAUUGUCUGAUAGUUUUCUCUUUUGGUGGUGUCUUUGUCUGGUUUUGGAAUUAGGGUGAUGGUGGCAUCAUAGAAUGUCUUUGGGAGUGUUCCUUCUUCUUCAACCUUUUGGAAAAGUUUAAGGAGGAUGAGUAUAAGUUCCUCUCUGUGUGUUUGGCUGAAUUCUCCAGUGAAGCCAUCUAGUCCUGGACUUUUAUUUGUAGGGAGUGUUUUUUAUGACAUAUUCAAUUUCAUUUCUAGUGAUUGGUCUGUUCAGUUGAUCUAUUUCUUCUUGAUUCAGUUUUGGCAGGCUGUAAGUCUCUGGAAAGUUGUCCGUUUCUUCUAGGUUGUCAAAUUUGUUGGCAUAUAAUUGUUGAUAGUAUUCUCUUAUGUUUUCUUGUAUUUCUGUAGUAUCCAUUGUGACUUCUCCUGUUUCAUUUCUUAUUUUAUUUAUUUUUUUUCUCUCUUCUUGGUGAGUCUAGCCAGAGGUUUGUCAAUUUUAUUUACCUUUUCAAAGAACCAGCUCUUUGUUUGAUUGAUUUGUUUUAUUUUUUUUUUUAAUCUCUAUUUAAGUGAUUUCCUCUUUGAUCUUUAUGAUUUCCUUCCUUCUGUUGACUUUAGGGUUUUUUUGUUCUUCUUUUUCUAAUUCAUUUAGGUAUUGGGUUAAGUUGUCAAUUUGAGAUUUUUCUUCUUUUUUGAGGAAGCCCUGUAUCACUACAAAUUUCCCUCUGAGCACUGCUUUUGUGGCAUCCCAUAGAUUUUGAGUGGUUGUGUCUUCAUUAUCAUUUGUCUUGAGGUAUUUUCUAAUUUCCUUCUUGAUGUCUUCAUUGGCCCAUUGGUUUUUUAGUAGUCUCCAUGUAGUAGGUUUUUCCUCAUUUCUUUUCCUGUGGUUGAUUUCUAGUUUCAUGCCAUUGUGGUCUAAGAAGAUACUUGAAAUAAUUUCUAUACUCUUAAAUUUGUUGAGGUUAGCUUUGUGCCCCAAUAUGUGAUCAUUUCUUGAGAAUGUUCCAUGUGCACUUGAGAAGAAUGUGUAUUCUGACUUUUUUGGAUGUAAUAUCCUGAAAAUGUCAAUUAAGUCUAACUUUUCUAUUUUAUUGCUUCCUUUAGGAUCUCUGUUGUGUUAUUGAUUUUCUGUCUAGAAGAUCUGUGCACUGAUGUGAGUGGGUAUGUUAAAGUCUCCUAGUAUGAUUGUACUCCCAUCCAUUUCUCUGUUUAUGUCUGUAAAUAUUUGUUGGAGGUAUCUAGGUGCUCCUAUAUUAGGGGCAUAUAUAUUGACUAUUAUAAUAUCCUCUUCUCAAACAGAUCCUUUAACCAUUAAAUAGUGUCCUUCUUUGUCUUUUUUAUGGCCUUCAUUUUAAAGUCUAUUUUGUCUGAUACGAGUAUUGUAACGCCUGCUUUCCUGUCUUGUCCAUUGGCAUGAAAGAUCUUUUCCCACCCCCUCAUUUUCAAUCUGUAUGUGUCCUUUGUCCUAAGGUGAGUUUCUUGUAGUUAGCAGAUUGAAGGUUUUUGCUUUUUUAUCCCAUUUGCCACUCUGUGUCUUUUGAUUGGAGCAUUCAGUCCAUUGACAUUUUAAGGUGAUUAUUGAUAGAUAUGUAUUUGUUGCCAUUUUAAACCUUAUUUUCCAGCUGAUUAGUUUCUCCUUCUUUUCUUUUUUUUUUGGUUGGAUGGUUUCCAUUUAUUUUAUGCUUGAGUACUUUUCUUUUUGUGAAUGUAGUGUUUGGUUUUGAUUUGUGGUUGCCCUGUUUUUUAAGCACGUUAAGCCCUUCCUAUAUCUGCUUGCUGUAGCCUGAGAGUCAUAUAGGCUCAAACACAUCAUUAAAAUAGAAAAAGAAUCUAUUUUUUUUCUUACUUCCCUUGCCCACAUUGUAUGAUUUGAUGUCUUUUUUUAAACAUCUUCAUGUUGGAUCUGUGUGCUGGCUUCUUUAAGUGACUGCUUUUCAAUUGUGACUUCCUCCAUCCUACUUCUUCCUUUUUUUUUAAUUUAGAGAAACCCUUUCAGCAUUUUUUUUUAGAAUGGGUUAAGUAUUCCCAUACUCUUUUAGCUUUUGUUUGUUGGAGAAAAUCUUUAUUUCCCCUUCUAUUUUAAAUGAUAUUGUUGCUGGAUAGAUUAUUCUAGGGUGCAGAUUUUUUCCUUUUAGUGCUUUAAAUAUGUCUUGCCACUCCUUCCUGGCCUGUAGUGUUUCUGUAGAGAAAUCAGCUGCCUUUUCUCUCACUGCCUUUACAAUCCUCUCUUUAUCUUUAACUUUUGCCUUUUUUAUUAUAACAUGUCUUGGUGUGGGCCUGUUUGGGUUCAACUUGUUUGAGGCCCCCUGUACUUCCUGUAUCUCAGUGUCUAUUUCCUUUAGGUUUGGGAAGUUUUCAGCCGUAAUUUCUUCGAACAUAUUUUCAAUCCCCUUUUCUUUUUCUUCUCCUUCCGGAAUUCCUAUUAUGCAUAGAUUGGGCCUGCUUUAUUUUAUCCCAUAGGUCUCUUACAUUGCUUUCAUAUUUUUUCAUUUGGUUUUCUGUCUGCUGUCCUGUUUGGGUGAUUUCCAUUAUUCUAUCUUACACAUCACUAAUUCGUUUCUCUGCAUUAUUCAUUCUGGUGUUUAUUGCCUUUAGCUCAGUUUAUAGCUCUGCACAUGAAUUUUCUUGUUUUUCUUGGCUCCUCUUUAUGUUUUGAAGUUCCUUUCUGAAGGAAUCUGCAUUUCUGUUCAUAUCCUCUCUUAAUUCCUUUAUUAUUUUCACUAUCUCCCUUUUGAACUCAAAGUCUGUCAGACUGCAGAGGUCUGUUUCAUUGUUGACUGCUUUAGGAAAAUUCUCCUGUUGCUUUAACUGGGAAUUGUUUCUGAGCUUCUUCAUCUUGUUUGUGUUGUUCUUUUUUUGUGAAUUUGGUUAAGCCAAAGUGUAGUUUGGCACAAUCCAGGGCGGGCCAGCGAGUAGCUUCCUUCAGCCGUGGGGGCCAGUCCACAGAGGAUGGCAGAUUACUUCUGGCUGCAGGAGUUGGGGGGGUUGUAGCGGGAAUGCUCCACUCUUUGUGAGCCGGUAGGCAAGCAUGCACACUGGGGCUCAAGGAGUUUCCUAUGGCAGCGGCCCACCCCCCUUCCUCUUCCCUCCCCAACAAUGGUGCCUUAACUCUCCUGCGGGUCUGGACCUUCUCCCGGUUUCCCUCUGCCGCCAGGCUUUCCACUCCCUGGCCCUUAGCGUACUGCUUCCCCCACCCACGGUGCACCACUCACUAGUCCCUUAGGCUGUCUCCACACCCCCAACCCCAGCCCCCACCCAAGCAUCUCAAGCUGUGGUGUCUGGGCCAGUGGUUCAGAUGAUCUGUGCUUCUCUCACUCUGCCUUUCGGUUCUCAGGCCUGCUGCUGCGAUUUCCUCUGUCUCGGAGGUCCCUCCGACUCUGCUGAUCUUUCCGUUGUUUUGGUGACUUCCCAAGGUGUGGGUUCCCUUUCUCCUUGACAGCUCCCUCUCGGGAAUGCUAGUCCUGUCAUGGUCCCUUUUCUCUCUCUCUCUCUCUUUUCUUUUGUUCUGUCCAGUUAUGUCAAGAGUUUCUUGCCCUUUUUGGAAGCAGAACUUCUUCUGCCAGCAUUCAGUUGAUGUCCUGUGCAAGUCGCUUUACAUGUAGAUGGGUUUUUUGAUGUGUUUGUGGGAGAGAGUGAGUGCUUCCUCUUGUUCUUCCAUAUUGCCUCCUUCCCCCAGGGAUUGUUUUGGAGGGAGGAUGAACUGUCGAUGUGCCUCAUGUGAUGUGUGCAGUGGUCCAAGAUUGGAGCACUGGAUGUUCAUGAAGAAACAGUAAAAUCCUUGUCAAGGGAUCCAGACAUUCUUAGGGAAAGGUUACCUAACCCUUGCCCUCAAAUCACUGUCUUUUGGGGU
rnacentral:lncRNA from 1 species